rnacentral:rRNA from 1 species
UACGUAGGGUGCAAGCGUUGUCCGGAAUUACUGGGCGUAAAGGGCGCGUAGGCGGUCUUGUAAGUCCCGUGUGAAAUCCCUCGGCUCAACUGAGGAACUGCACGGGAAACUGCUUGGCUUGAGUUCGGGAGAGGGAAGCGGAAUUCCGGGUGUAGCGGUGAAAUGCGUAGAUAUCCGGAGGAACACCGGUGGCGAAAGCGGCUUCCUGGUCCAGCACCGACGUUCAGGCACGAAAGCGUGGGGAGCAAACAGG